rnacentral:rRNA from 1 species
UAAAACUACCUGAUUAGUAACAGCUAUGUGCUCUAAAUUCAAAGAAUUUGGCGGUAUUUUAUUCUUAUUAGGGGAACCUGUCUCUUAAACGAUAAACCACGCAAAAUCUAACCUGUUUUCUAUAGUUUGUAUACCGUCAUUGAAAUAACCCUCAAAGAGAUAGUUAUUAAAAUAAAUUAUUUUAGAAUGUUAGAUCAAGGUGCAGCAAAUAAACAGGCGCAGAUGGGUUACAAUAUAACUUAUAUACUACGGAACAACUUUCGAACGAAAGUUUUUAAGGCGGACUUAAAAGUAAAACUGGUUUAAUAAGCCAGCUUGAUUUU